AGAGUUUGAUCAUGGCUCAGAUUGGACGCUGGCGGCAUGCCUUACACAUGCAAGUCGAACGGUAACAGGUCUUCGGAUGCUGACGAGUGGCGAACGGGUGAGUAAUACAUCGGAACGUGCCCGAUCGUGGGGGAUAACGAGGCGAAAGCUUUGCUAAUACCGCAUACGAUCUACGGAUGAAAGCGGGGGAUCUUCGGACCUCGCGCGGACGGAGCGGCCGAUGGCAGAUUAGGUAGUUGGUGGGAUAAAAGCUUACCAAGCCGACGAUCUGUAGCUGGUCUGAGAGGAUGAUCAGCCACACUGGGACUGAGACACGGCCCAGACUCCUACGGGAGGCAGCAGUGGGGAAUUUUGGACAAUGGGCGAAAGCCUGAUCCAGCCAUGGCCGCGUGCAGGAUGAAGGCCUUCGGGUUGUAAACUGCUUUUGUACGGAACGAAAAGCCUCUUUCUAAUAAAGAGGGGUCAUGACGGUACCGUAAGAAUAAGCACCGGCUAACUACGUGCCAGCAGCCGCGGUAAUACGUAGGGUGCAAGCGUUAAUCGGAAUUACUGGGCGUAAAGCGUGCGCAGGCGGUUUUGUAAGACAGAGGUGAAAUCCCCGGGCUCAACCUGGGAACUGCCUUUGUGACUGCAAGGCUGGAGUGCGGCAGAGGGGGAUGGAAUUCCGCGUGUAGCAGUGAAAUGCGUAGAUAUGCGGAGGAACACCGAUGGCGAAGGCAAUCCCCUGGGCCUGCACUGACGCUCAUGCACGAAAGCGUGGGGAGCAAACA
rnacentral:rRNA from 1 species